AGCCCUAAUUACAAAUACCAAUCUCACAAAUAUGACGGUGUACGGUAAACUUCGGACGACAACUUUCGUUCGCGAUACGGACCAUUUUUUCUAUCUGGUCCUUGGGUAGGGUCGUGGCAUAUUUCACCUUCUGCGUUACACGAACUUGAUAGAAUUGGCACGAAAUGCCCCAUAUACGUAAGUGAUGCAUAGAUAGCGAAUACAUCAUCACGUUCAUACGAAGAGGUGGAAAUGUGAGAAUUUAAUACCGCAGAACGCGUUUAUAAUACGAAUCGUUUUGAAAGAAAUGAUAUAUUAAUCCACCAGCUGAGCUGCAUUAUAGCAGCGAUAUACGAGUCUAUAUCUAGGUAUACGUGAGUCACAUUUUUAUCUCAACCUCGAAAAUCCUGCCAACUGUAGGGGCGAAGUUGAAAGGAUUGUGAAAUGAAAGUUUGGAAUUUGAAUGAGGAUUUUAUUUUGUACUUGUUCGGCGUCAUUCACUGGACAGGAGAGAAAAGAGGGGGUUAAACUACAUCAGAAGCAGCAGCAAACACGAUACAAAAAUUCUGGAAUCUGGAUUUCGAUUCGGAAAGAAUUUAGAACCAGCCGGUCAAUGCUUGGUCACCCUUCGCUGCUUAACGACUGUAUAGCGUGAUUUAGAAGUAUCCACGUGCUCGCAGUAAUACACCAUAACCAUACAACGGCACAAACGGCACAAGCGACAACCUAUGCCGAAUGCCACACCUGACAAUUCGGGGCCCUGUCAUCCGCAUACUGGCGCCAUUCACAUUCGAAAACAUUUUCCAACCAGAGGUCAAACUAUAAUGGGAUAUUCGGUAGUGGUUUGGUUGCACAGAAAUCGUUUGCACAGGUUUCAUCUCUGGAGAAACUUUGUGCGCAGGGAUCGUUUGCGCGGACGAAAUUUCAAGUCAAGUACGUCUGCACAGAACUAGAUUGGCGGGAUUGUCUGGACAGAAUUCGUAUUUGUGCACAAAAUGGAGAACGGAUUCUGCGCAAACGAAGCUACGGAGGUGCGUACGUUUGCCCAUAUACAACGAAAACGGAUUCUGUGCAAACGAACUUAAGAACUUGUGUCUGCACGUAUAACGUGAAAACGGAUUGAAAAUCGAAAACGAAAAACGAACCUACAGAGGUUUGUUUGCACAGAAGCGUUUUCGACGCAUAUGUGCAGAUGUGCCUCCGAAUGUUCGUUUGCGCAGAAUCCGUUCUCCAUUUUGUGCACAAAUACGAAUUCCGUCCAGACGAUCCCGCCAAUCUUAUAGUUCUGUGCAGACCUACCUGACUCGAAGUUUGUCUGCGCAAACGAUCCCCGGGCAGAAAAAUUGUAGAGAUGAAUCCUGUGCAGACGAUCAAUUUCUGUGCAAACGAACCUCACCUGAUAGAAUAUUUGUGAAGUUGAAAGAAUGACACGUUAUUCAGGUGAAAGAGGUUACUCUAUUACUUCAGAAGACGAAACUUAGUUUUCGACAUUUGAUAAAAAGAGGAAGAAGAUGUUUGAUGAUAAAAAAUUAUUCUUAUAACACGAAAUUUUCGUGAACAUUAAUAGAUUUAUGUACGACGCUGAGUUUUCUAGCCCUUGUGGAUUAGCGUAGAAAUAAUUUUUUUUAAUCUUUCAGUUAUUCGUUCAAUUAUUUUUCCAUUACCUGUAACACGGGGUCAUCUCCGCAGCGUUUGAUGGUCACUUCACAACGCACGGUUUACAUACGUU